AACGAACGCUGGCGGCGUGCCUAACACAUGCAAGUCGAACGUGAAAGUCCUUCGGGAUGAGUAAAGUGGCGCACGGGUGAGUAACACGUAGGUGACCUGCCUUUUAGAGGGGAAUAACCAGAAGAAAUUUUGGCUAAUGCCGCAUACGAAGCACGGUUUUAAGACUGUGCUUGAAAGAAUGCCUCUGUAUAUGCACUCACUAAAAGAUGGGCCUGCGGAACAUUAGCUAGUUGGUUGGGUAAAGGCCUACCAAGGCAACGAUGUUUAUCCGGUCUGAGAGGAUGAUCGGACACACUGGAACUGAGACACGGUCCAGACUCCUACGGGAGGCAGCAGUGGGGAAUAUUGCGCAAUGGGGGAAACCCUGACGCAGCAACGCCGCGUGAGUGAGGAAGGACUUCGGUCUGUAAAGCUCUGUUAAUGUGGAAAAAUGGUAGUUGGUCUAAUAGGCCGAUUAUUUGAUGGUACACAUAGAGGAAGCACCGGCUAACUUCGUGCCAGCCGCCGCCGUAA
rnacentral:rRNA from 1 species